GACGAACGCUGGCGGCGUGCUUAACACAUGCAAGUCGAACGGAAAGGCCCUGCUUUUGUGGGGUGCUCGAGUGGCGAACGGGUGAGUAACACGUGAGUCACCUGCCCUUGACUUUGGGAUAACUUCUGGAAACUGGGGCUAAUACCGGCUAGGAGCUCCUGCUGCAUGGUGGGCGUUGGAAAGUUUCGGCGGUUGGGGUUGGACUCGCGGCUUAUCAGCUUGUUGGUGGGGUAGUGGCUUACCAAGGCUUUGACGGGUAGCCGGCCUGAGAGGGUGAACGGCCACAGUGGGAUUGAGAUGAGGCCCAGCCUCCUACGGGAGGCAGCAGUGGGGAAUAUUGCACAAUGGGCGGAAGCCUGAUGCAGCAGCGCCGCGUGCGGGAUGACGGCCUUCGGGUUGUAAACCGCUUUCGCCUGUGACGAAGCGAGAGUGACGGUAAUGGGUAAAGAAGCACCGGCUAACUACGUG
rnacentral:rRNA from 1 species